GGGCCCGCACAAGCGGUGGAGCAUGUGGUUUAAUUCGAUGCAACGCGAAGAACCUUACCAGGGUUUGACAUACUACAAAUUCCUUAGAAACAAGGAAGUGCCUUCGGGAAUGUAGAUACAGGUGGUGCAUGGCUGUCGUCAGCUCGUGUCGUGAGAUGUUGGGUUAAGUCCCGCAACGAGCGCAACCCUUAUUUUAGUUACAGACUUCGACUGAUUUCUAGAAAGACUGCCGGUGACAAACCGGAGGAAGGUAAGGAUGACGUCAAGUCAGCAUGCCCCUUAUAUCCUGGGCUACACACGUGCUACAAUGGCUAAUACAAAGAGUUGCAAACUUGCGAAAGUGCGCUAAUCUAAGAAACUUAGCCUAAGUUCAGAUUGGAGUCUGCAACUCGACUCCAUGAAGUUGGAAUCGCUAGUAAUCG
rnacentral:rRNA from 1 species